GUCAAUGAUAAUGAAAGAAUUCGAUCGUGAAAUGGGGAAGCAAAACAGGAAGGUAUUGUUAGUUGUUGAUAACGCUGCCUGUCACAAAGUUAAUGGGUUGAGUUUGGAAAAUGUCAAAAUAGAAUUCUUGCCACCAAGCAAAUUUUGAUACGAAAACAGAUACUAUCGAUCGAGAAAGGCGAGUCAACAAGACAGUUUUUAAACUCACUUUCAAUUCCCAAUGUUCUCACCUAUAUAAAACGAGCAUGGUGGCUUGUUACAACCGAAACUAUUAAAAAUUGUUUCAGAAAGUUUCAAUUUACUUUUUCCCAUAAUUUUGAAGUCAGGAUUUCAAUCUGAUAGAAAUCGACUUGAUUGUAUUGAGGAAGUAAUCGGUACAAUAGAUAUUCCCCUGGAAAUAGAAGAUGUUCUGGAAUAUGUCGCUUGCGAUAAUAAUGUCAACUGUUUUGGUACUUACUGAUGAAAUCGUAGAAUGUGUAUUAAAUGAAGAUAACCAAGUCUGUCAGUCUUCAGAGGAAUCUUCUUUGACUAAUAUCACCUCUUCACCACCACCUUCAUUUGCAGAAACAAUGAAUGCGCUGAGCAUUGUCAAAAAAUGUUUGGAGUGCAACAGUUUUGAAGGAGAUGAAGUUGAAAAUUUAGAAGAAAAGCUUUUUAAAAUAAGAUUUCAAAAUUUUCAUCCGAAAAGAAUUACUAACUUGUUUAACCACAAUUAAACAAUCAUUUAAUGAAUUGAGUGUUAGUAUUAUUAAUGUCAUAUUGAUGUAUUAAAUAAAUGUGAAAUUUGGAGAAAUAGUAGGGCGAGAUAUUUGAGCAAAUUUUUGGUAAAUAUCUCGAGGCACUUAAGCGGGAAGGUAAAAAAAAAAUCCCGCUUAAGUGCUUACAAAUUUUUACCAGUGGCACUUAAGCAGGGAUUACUGUAAACUUAAAAUUAAUAAAAAAGGGCUAAGUUCGGAACAUCAUAUGCUCUCGCAAUUUAUUUAUUUAAUUUUAUUAAUAUAACACACAAUUUGACCCACACAUUCGGCAUAAAGUCCAUUAGGAAAAAAAUCUGUGUAUAUAUAAUAGUAUAGGGGGGACUGGGUAAUACAUGAACCGAUUCCAACUAGUUUUGACCUACAUUUUAUCCAAGAUUGUAUGUUCACUAAAUGUUGCUGAUAUAUCUCACAUAUUAACCGAUAUACAUAUAUGGCAAAAAGUCAAAUGAAAGUUUGAAACCCCAAAUAUUAGGUAUAUGGAAGCUAGGAAGAGUUACGAUUUAACUCAUUUUGGCACGGAGACAUAUUAUUAGAAGGAAAAUAUUCCCUCACAAUUUACUUACUUAUAUUUUCGGUAAGAAAAUUAUUCGAAGCACUGAGGUCCUUAUGUUCAUGUUCACAUGGGGCCUUGAAAAUGUAUAGUCCGAUAAGUGUAUCAAAUUUCAUUAAGAUAUUUCAAUUUUUAGCCUACAAGAAUAACUUUCACUAACA